AACCGUAAAAUAUAGCUGCUUAAGAGUCCUUACUCCUACAGACGAGCGUAUUUUGCAAAAUGCUUCCUUUUUCAUUUAAGAUUACGACGUAACUAUUAGUAUUUAUUCAAAAACUGAUAACGUACUUAAAUAAUCAUUUCUUAAACUAGGGGCUGAAAACGUUCAAAUUUUCAUUUUCUCUUUUUGAACCUAAAAUAAAUGAGUUUUCUUAGGAGUCUUUUUCAAAUUUUGCAGUGAGAAGGGUCGUUUCGGUUCUCAAUUUUGCAGUAAACAAGAAUCAUUUGGUACAUGAAUGAUUACAAUUCAACUCACCAUAUCUUGUACGAGGGGCUGACAUGCUUGAAAAUCGAAGAUUCAUUUUAAAAAAUUGAUAAAAAACCUUCCGAGUUUUCUUCAUUUUUUUGGUGAAAACAGGGUUACAUUACAUUUUUUUAUCGCAAAUUGGACUUAUAUUUUGCCCCAAAAAUAAUAUUUUAUCAAAUUGUAACUUUAUGUCUACUCAUAAAAAAAAAAUCAUAACUAUAGGACCUACCUAGCCGUAAAUCUAUAUUUUUUUAAAGACGUACAAAUCACGCUGCACCGACACCGCGCGCUCAGUCUCCGCCGAGUGCGCUUAGGGGACGGACCUGUGCUCGACCGUCAGGCGUUCGUUGCUUUCGUAACCAUCGAGAGAGUUCCGAGAAGUGCUGUAUACUAUGAUUAGAAAAUCUUGAUCCAAGGGUGUACAUUUUUUACACCAUAUUUAAUUUUAACAACCGACUCUCGCUUAUGUGAUAGAUUUUCAGUGUUACUUGAAUUCUGGUUAGGGUUUGCAUUUUUAUUAUACCCGGACGACCUGGAUGAUGUCCAGGUUCUCAUGAUGGAGUCAGGAAUGGUCACCGAACUCCUAAUCUACUCAUCAUAACUCCAUCGUGUUUGGGCUCAAUAGAUUUUCCUUGACGAACACCAUCGAUCUAGAUGAGGUCCAGGUUCUCAUGAUGGAGUCAGGAGUUGGUCACCAGAACUCCUAAUCUACUCAUUAACACUCCAUCGUGUUUGGGUUCAAAUGAUUUGCCCUGACGAGCACCAUCUAUCUAGAUAAGGUCCAGGUUCUCAUGAUGGAGUCAGGAGUUGGUCACUAGAACUCCUAAUCUACUCAUUAUCACUCCAUCGUGUUUGGGCUCAAUCGAUUUGCCUCGACGAGCACCAUCUAUCUAGAUGAGGUCCAGGGUCAUGAGACCCUUCUGGUGACCAGCUCCUGACUCCAUCAUGAGAUGGUCACCAGAUGUUCUAAUCUACUCAUCAUAACUCCAUCGUGUUUGGGCUCAAUAGAUUUGCCCCGACGAGCACCAUCGAUCUAGAUGAAGUCCAGGUUCUCAUGAUGGAGUCAGGAGUUGGUCACCAGAAAUCCUAAUCUACUCAUUAUCACUCUAUCGUGAUUGGGCUCAUUAGAUUUGCCCUGACGAGCACCAUCUAUCUAGAUGAGGUCCAGAGUCAUGAGACUCUUCUGGUGACCAACUCCUGACUCCAUUACGAGAUGGGGUCAGGAGUUGGUCCCCAGAAGUCCUAAUCUAUUCAUCAUAACUCCAUCGUGUUUGGGAUCAAUAGAUUUGCCCCGACAAGCACCAUCGAUCUAGAAUCUAGAUGAAGUCCAGGUUUUCAUGAUGGAGUCAGGAGUUGGUCACCAGAACUCCUAAUCUACUCAUCAUAACUCCAUCGUGUUUGGGCUCAAUAGAUUUUCCUUGACGAGCACUAUCGAUCUAGAUGCGGUUGAUAGAUUAUUAAUAUUAUUUUAUAUUACAUACAUACUUACAAAUAAAGCUUCAUUUGCUUCCCACAAGGAUCAAGUAAACCUUAUAAAUCAACUUCGUUCUAAAUAAAAACCGGCCAAGUGCGAGUCGGACUCGCACACGAAGGGUUCCGUACCAUUAUCUAUAAAAACGGUCACCCAUCCAAGUACUGGCCCC